CAUCGAUGAAGAACGUAGCGAACUGCGAUACUUGGUGUGAAUUGCAGAAUCCCGUGAACCAUCGAGUCUUUGAACGCAAGUUGCGCCCGAAGCCUUCGGGUCGAGGGCACGUUUGCCUGGGUGUCA
rnacentral:rRNA from 16 species